UAUACACCGGUUUUAAACAGUAGUUUUAAACAGUUAACUGUGAAAGAAGUGACAUAUUAUCCAAAAUUUGAGGAACUAUACACACCUUUUAAAGUAGGAUCAAUUGUGCGCGAUACAUCAACGGCGUUCAUCGGCACAACUUCAGGAGCUGCGCAAACGGCGAGGGAUUUAGCAAUCGACUGUCCGGGGUCGUAUAUUACGUAUAGAGAACCUAUAUUUAUAGAGAAGGUCCAACAACGGACAAGCGUGUGAACUGUCAAAAGCUAACAAAAUGCGAUGAUCGUGUUUCACCACAGCUAGCUCAGAAGUAGAAAUAUUAACAGUGGCGCGUGAACAGAGCUGAGCAUUUAAUGAAAAUUUUGCUCAGAAAUAUACAUUGUUGGCCUUUUGCUUAUAUUUGUAUACGUUUACAUGCCAUCAUAUUAAUUGAUAUAAUUAUCAUUUUGCAAAUUUUUAUGAAUACAUAUAUGCAAAACUGAUAACAUUUUAAUUAACUUAUGCUAUUUUCAAAAUAUAUAUUUGUAGUUAGAUUA